rnacentral:rRNA from 1 species
UAGGCGUGGGGGAACCUGACCGCCUUCCGCGUGUGCGAUGAAGGCCUUCGGGUUGUAAAGCACUUUUGGCAGGAAAGAAAUCGCACGGGUUAAUAACCCGUGUGGAUGACGGUACCUGCAGAAUAAGCACCGGCUAACUACGUGCCAGCAGCCGCGGUAAUACGUAGGGUGCAAGCGUUAAUCGGAAUUACUGGGCGUAAAGCGUGCGCAGGCGGUUCGGAAAGAAGGAUGUGAAAUCCCAGGGCUUAACCUUGGAACUGCAUUCUUAACUACCGGGCUAGAGUAUGUCAGAGGGAGGUGGAAUUCCGCGUGUAGCAGUGAAAUGCGUAGAUAUGCGGAGGAACACCGAUGGCGAAGGCAGCCUCCUGGGAUAAUACUGACGCUCAUGCACGAAA